GCCGAAGUGGUGGAACUGGCAGACGCGCUGGACUCAAAAUCCAGUGGGGCUCACCCCCCGUGUGGGUUCGACUCCCACCUUCGGCACCA
rnacentral:tRNA from 1 species